rnacentral:rRNA from 1 species
CCAGAGAUGGAUUGGUGCCUUCGGGAACUCUGACACAGGUGCUGCAUGGCUGUCGUCAGCUCGUGUCGUGAGAUGUUGGGUUAAGUCCGUAACGAGCGCAACCCUUGUCCUUAGUUACCAGCACGUUAUGGUGGGCACUCUAAGGAGACUGCCGGUGACAAACCGGAGGAAGGUGGGGGAUGACGUCAAGUCAUCAUGGCCCUUACGGCCUGGGCUACACACGUGCUACAAUGGUCGGUACAAAGGGUUGCCAAGCCGCGAGGUGGAGCUAAUCCCAUAAAACCGAUCGUAGUCCGGAUCGCAGUCUGCAACUCGACUGCGUGAAGUCGGAAUCGCUAGUAAUCGUGAAUCAGAAUGUCACGGUGAAUACGUUCCCGGGCCUU